rnacentral:rRNA from 1 species
GACGAACCGUGCGAACGUUGUUCGGAAUCACUGGGCUUAAAGGGCGCGUAGGCGGGCAUCCAAGUCUGUGGUGAAAUCCGGCAGCUCAACUGUCGAAUUGCCUUGGAUACUGGGUGUCUCGAGGGAGGUAGGGGCGCGCGGAACUAUUGGUGGAGCGGUGAAAUGCGUUGAUAUCAAUAGGAACUCCGGUGGCGAAGGCGGGUCUCUGGGCAGUAACUGACGCUGAGGAGCGAAAGCGUGGGGAGCGAACAGG